GGGGGUUAGCGUUGUUCGGAAUUACUGGGCGUAAAGCGUACGUAGGCGGAUUAGUAAGUUAGAGGUGAAAUCCCAGGGCUCAACCCUGGAACUGCCUUUAAUACUGCUAGUCUUGAGUUCGAGAGAGGUAAGUGGAAUUCCGAGUGUAGAGGUGAAAUUCGUAGAUAUUCGGAGGAACACCAGUGGCGAAGGCGGCUUACUGGCUCGAUACUGACGCUGAGGUGCGAAAGUGUGGGGAGCAAACAGGAUUAGAUACCCUGGUAGUCCACACCGUAAACGAUGAAUGCCAGACGUCAGCAAGUAUACUUGUUGGUGUCACACCUAACGGAUUAAGCAUUCCGCCUGGGGAGUACGGUCGCAAGAUUAAAACUCAAAGGAAUUGACGGGGGCCCGCACAAGCGGUGGAGCAUGUGGUUUAAUUCGAUGCAACGCGAAGAACCUUACCUACUCUUGACAUACUAGAAACUUUUCAGAGAUGAAUUGGUGCCUUCGGGAAUCUAGAUACAGGUGCUGCAUGGCU
rnacentral:rRNA from 1 species